UACGGGGGGGCAAGCGUUGUUCGGAAUUACUGGGCGUAAAGGGCGCGUAGGCGGUCAGAUAAGUCAGCUGUGAAAACCUCGGGCUUAACCCGAGGCCUGCAGUUGAAACUGUUUGGCUGGAGUGUGGGAGAGGAGAGUGGAAUUCCCGGGUGUAGCGGUAGUAAAUGCGUAGAUAUCGGGAGGAACACCGGUGGCGAAGGCGGCUCUCUGGACCACUACUGACGCUGAGGCGCGAAAGCUAGGGGAGCAAACAGGG
rnacentral:rRNA from 1 species